ACGGGUGAGUAAAGCCUAGGAAUCUGCCUGGUAGUGGGGGAUAACGCUCGGAAACGGACGCUAAUACCGCAUACGUCCUACGGGAGAAAGCAGGGGACCUUCGGGCCUUGCGCUAUCAGAUGAGCCUAGGUCGGAUUAGCUAGUUGGUGAGGUAAUGGCUCACCAAGGCGACGAUCCGUAACUGGUCUGAGAGGAUGAUCAGUCACACUGGAACUGAGACACGGUCCAGACUCCUACGGGAGGCAGCAGUGGGGAAUAUUGGACAAUGGGCGAAAGCCUGAUCCAGCCAUGCCGCGUGUGUGAAGAAGGUCUUCGGAUUGUAAAGCACUUUAAGUUGGGAGGAAGGGCAUUAACCUAAUACGUUAGUGUUUUGACGUUACCGACAGAAUAAGCACCGGCUAACUCUGUGCCAGCAGCCGCGGUAAUACAGAGGGUGCAAGCGUUAAUCGGAAUUACUGGGCGUAAAGCGCGCGUAGGUGGUUCGUUAAGUUGGAUGUGAAAUCCCCGGGCUCAACCUGUGGAACUGCAUUCAAAACUGUCGAGCUAGAGUAUGGUAGAGGGUGGUGGAAUUUCCUGUGUAGCGGUGAAAUGCGUAGAUAUAGGAAGGAACACCAGUGGCGAAGGCGACCACCUGGACUGAUACUGACACUGAUGUG
rnacentral:rRNA from 1 species